rnacentral:misc_RNA from 1 species
GGAAGGAUCAUUAGAGAAUGGCAAGAUUUUGAGAGCGCUUGGCUGGGUUGGGGCUGUGUUGGCUUGCCGACGAGCCGACCACCGCCAAGCAGGUCGCGUCGACCCUAAACAUUUAGCUGGUGGUUGGGCAAGCCCAACCAGGAGUUAGCUAGUCCAACCAUCAGUGAAAAUAAUAACACGCUUACAUACACAACAACAACAUGUGCACCUUGCCGCAAUGGAUCUCUCGGCUCUUGCAUCGAAGAAGAACGCAGUCCAUUGCGAAAAGUCAUGCGACUUGCACUCUUUGAGAAGCAUUACUCUUUGAACGCACCUUGCGCGCACUAGCCAUCUAGUGCGAGGUCCUGUUUGAGCAUUGAAUAUCAACUCCCAUGUGGCGGCUUUCACGACUCGCUCGUGACGGCAGCUGAAUAGCAUGCGGGCCGAACGACUCUAGGAGCACCGGCAGUAGCGCGACAAGCACCACUACGCGCCGGGGCACCCGCACCGCAACACAUGAAAGUACCGAGUGUGUUGCAACUUUACCAACUAACGCAACAAUCUCAAAUCAGGAUAGAGGACCCGCCGAACUUAAGCAUAUCAGUAAGCGGAGGAAAAGAAACUAACGAGGAUUCCCCUAGUAACGGCGAGUGAAGCGGGAACAGCCCAUGACGGAAUCGGUUGGCUGAACGAGCUAGCUGAAGUGUGUCGUGGAGAGGGGCGAUGGCGGCGCGCGACGGCAGCAGGUCCCCUGGAAAGGGGCGGCACAGAGGGUGAGACCCCCGUGGCGGCUUGAGCGCGGCGCGAUUCGCCCCCCGGCGAGUCGGAUUGUUUGGGAAUGCAAUCCCAAGAGGGUGGUACGCGCCAUCUAAGGCUAAACAAGGGCAAGAGACCGAUAGCAAACAAGUACCGUGAGGGAAAGAUGAAAAGGACUCUGAAGAGAGAGUCAAAAGUGCGUGAAAUUGCGGCAAGGGAAACAAAGGUGGGGCGAGAGGGGCCUUGUUGAGCGGCGAGCGGCGGUCGUGGAGGUGCCUGCACCUAGCGGGGCAGGACGUACAGCAGGACCGCGGGAAGCCGCUUGGCGGGGCGCCUGGGACGCGCGCCACCUCUGACCCGUCUUGAAACACGGACCAAGGAGUGCGACACGCGUGCGAGUCUUUGGGUGACAAACCCGGGGGCGCAAAGAACAUGAUGAGCGUUUUACUUUCUCUGGAAAAACAAAACGGCCCUGCGCAGCGGCAACGCGGCGUCGAGGCAGAGCAGGCGUGUGGCGACCCGAAAGAUGGUGAACUAUGCCUGCACAGGGCGAAGCCAGAGGAAACUCUGGUGGAGGCUCGUAGCGGUUCUGACGUGCAAAUCGAUCGUCAAAGGUGGGUAUAGGGGCGAAAGACUAAUCGAACCAUCUGGUAGCUGGUUCCCUC